CUAACUGUCUCACAGCAUCCAGCCAUAUGUUUGGUCCUUCAGUGCACCUGCGGCCAACCUCACAGUCCCUGUUCCCUCCCCCAAACUCUUUGGUCUCAAACUUUACCAUAGCAGAGAGAGAAUUUUGUGAAUCUCUUCCCAAGGUCAAGCUAGAGAUCAUCCAACAUUAUACUUUCAAGAGAAUCACCUUCCAAAUUGACUAUUUAAGAAACCCAGAGGGUCAUACCUUAGUAGUAGGGCUAAACUAGCUCAAAAUAGAAGCUGCUACAGACCUAUUCUUAAACAGUUUUCUAAAAGCCAUGAAAAGAUCAAACCCAUCUGAUCUUCCAGUAGCUUAACUUUUUCCAGAACAAAGCUAAUGCUCUUUAAAGAAAGAUAGCAAAGUUCAGAUACUCAAUAACCUAAUAACUCAAUACUCAGUGUCCAAUAAAAAUUCUUAGACAUACUAAGAAUCAGGAAAAGGUGACCCCAUAACCCAAGAGGAAAAAGAAAAAGAGUAAAUAGCCAAUAGAAAAAGAUUCAGCAAUGACAGAGAUGGUGGAAUUAGUACACAAAACUUUGAAAUAUCUAUUAGAAAAAGACUCAAUAUAUUUAAGAAUCUUUAAUAUAAAUAGAAUGGAGAGAGAAUGAAGAUAUAAAAAGAACCAAAUGGAAUUUCUAGAGAUAAAAAUUUAAAUGGCUGAAAUGGAAAAAAAAAUAAUACACUGGAUGGGACUGAGUCAUAGAAAAAUAAAAGACCAGGAAACUUGAAGAUGUAGCAAUACAAACAGUUCAACCUGAAACAUAGAAAAAAAGAUGGAAGAAAAUAAAUAAGGCUUCAGUGACCCAGGGAUAAUAUCAAGUGGUUAAUUGUAUGUAUAAUUGGAAUCCCAGAAAACUGAUUUAGUGAGAAGGGAGAAGAGGGAGACAGGAAAAUAUCCGAAGAAACAAUGAAAAAAUUCCAAAUUUAGUAAAAACUAUGAACCCACAUAUCUAUCUAUAAACAUUAAUGAGUCCCAAGGAGGAUAAAUACACAGAAAAUCACACCAAAGCACAUUAUAAUUAAAUUGCUGAAUAACAGUGACAAGGAGAAAAUCUUAAAAUCAGCCAGAGAAAAAAGGCACUUGAUGGACAGAAGAACAAAGAUAAGAGUGAGAGCAGAUUUCUUCUCAGAAAUGAUGCAAGUCAGGAGACAAUGGUAUGGCAUCUUUAAAUUGCAGAAUGAAAAAAUAAAAUAUGGUCAACAUGGGGUUAUACAUCCAGCAAAAAUCUCCUUUAAGAUGUUCAACUGGGAUGCCUGGGUGGCUCAGUGGUUGAGCAUCAGGGAGUGAUCUUGUAUUCCUGGGAUCGAGUCCCACAGCUCCUUGCAUGUAACCUGCUUCUCCUCCCUCUGCCUGUGUCUCUGCUUCUCUUUCUGUGUUUCUCAUGAAUAAAUAAAUAAAAUCUUGAAAAAAAAUGUUCAAAAGGGGUACAUGGCUGGCUCAGUCAGAAGAGCAUGUAACUCUUGAUCAUGUAAGUUCCACAUGAGAUGUAGAGAUUAUUUAAAUAAAUAAAACUUUAAAAUACAAUGAAAUACAGUGUUCAACUUAAGGUGAAAUAAAGGCUUCUAAAGACACAUAGAAGCUGAGAGACUUUGUAAUUGAAUAUCACUGCAAUAAUAUUAAAGGAAAUUCUUUAGGUGGAAAACAAGGCCAGAUAAAAACAUGGAUCUACACAGGGAAUGAAGAACAAAAGAAAUGGUAAAUAUGAUAAAUAUGAAAGUAUUUUGUUUUCAUUUAAAAAAUUCAACUACAUAAAGCAAAAAAAAAACAACAACAAAAAACAACAACACCUCACAUGUCGUGGGUUUCAUAGUUUACACAGAAGCAAAAUGUAUGACAAUAGCACAAAGGAUAGUAGGCAGAAAUGGAAGUAUACUGCUUAAGGUUAGUACAUAACAUUCAAAUAUUUAAGUAGACUUGGUAAGCUAAGGAGAUAUAAACAUUAGUACAACCACUAAAACUAAAAUGUAGACAUAUAACUAAUAAACCAAGAGCAGGAAAUGGGGAGGGGCGGGGAAAUGAACAGAGAACAGAUUGAAUAACUAGAGAACUAAUAGCAAAGGACAGACAGGCAAGUUGGGGAAGUUGUUAAGGAAAAGUAGCAGACUGUUGAGAUGCUGUGCACACAAAAGAGGAACAGCUAUCUUUCUUAUAGCUGAAGAAAGCAAUAAUCACUGAAGGAAUAGGUAAGGAUUAAAGAAUCCUUAUGGAAUAGAAAUGGGAAGCUUUUGCUUUUUGAACCAUUUGGACUCAAGAUCCAGCUCCCAACUUUUUAGAGUGUUAGGGGCUCCUGUUGGUGCGUACUCAAACUGAUGCACUUUCUUUCCUCAGUAAGAGAAGUGUCAUUUACAACUUUUGUGUUAAUGAACCCCAGGGCUCCUAUGGAAAUGGACUCUGACCUCUUACACAACAUGUUUACUUAAGCCAGAACAGAGGAAAUAGUGGACAUUGAGAGAUCAAAUGGCUGCCUUCCACUCUGUUCCCUUUGGGGAUAAUAAUAGGGGUGUCUGGGUGGCUCAAUGGGUUAAGCAUCUGUCUUCAGCUCAGUUCAUGAUCCCAGGGUCCUGGGAUUGAGCCCUGUGGUGGGCCCCCUGCUCAGUGGGACGUCUGCUUCUCCCUCUGUCCCUUCUCCUGUGCUUUCUCUCAUGCUCUCUCUCCUCUUAAAAAAAUAAAAUCUCUGAAAAAUUUUUUUUCUUUUUAAGGGAAGCUGCAUAUGACUUCAUGGAAUUUGACAGAGUUAAAUUCCUGUGCUUGUUAUUUUGAUAUCUAAAUAUGAGUAAGAUUGGUAAAUGGCAACUAAAAUUGAAUCUUUGAGUGAGAAUGAAAAACAGUGAAAUGGAACCAUACGCAUUCAGUUAGAUUUUUUGUAGAGCAUUUCAUCGACCUACUCCACUGUAAUCAUACAGACGAAAGCAUGAUUUUAUAUGGUCUGACACAAUUUUGCUGUUCAAACAUUUGUGGAAAUUUUCCAUAUAAUUUCUUAUUUGGAAAUACUAAAUCUUACAAAAUUCCUUUAUAACAGUUUUAUAUGGGGCUCAAAUUCAUGUUCACCCUACAGAUAAAUUCUGUUAUGACAGGAUUGAUCAUAUAGAAAUAUGUGUAGUGGACAUCCAUCUGCAACUAUGUGUUGAGGUUCAUCUUUGAAUUAAAUUUAGAAAGGUAGAGAAUUAGAUGCAUAACUCUUCAUCUACACCUCAUCCUUAGAAAUGGGCCCAUUUCCAGGCCAGGUCCAAGGUUAUAUCUUAGAAAUUCGUGCCCAUCUGAAAUAUGCUUAAUAAGAUAGUUCUUGCCACGAAGGCUGUUGACAGAAUAGCCUGAGUAUAUUCAUGGCAGUAGUCUGGGCUUCUAAUGUCAUGGGAGACAAUGUGCUCCCAGAAGAAAAUAAAUUGCUUUAUAGCAUGAUGAGAUGACUUGUUAAAGAAUUCAGUAAUAAAAAUAUCUUUCAUGAAUACAAGCUGUAUUCCACAAUUUUGGCUUAACUUAUCACAUGUGUAAUUAUUGACAAGUUUUGAAUAAGGAAAUGAAGUUAAUAGAGGCAAGUGACUUAUCUAAGAGCUCAUGCUGACUGAGAACCAGCACGUCACAAUCAAUAUAUUUUGCUAACUGGGCUAAUGAAGUAGUAGUGUAGGAUAUCUUUUGUUUCCUGGUUGAAUGCUCAUGAAAUGUAUAUAUAAACGCAAUCCUGUCUGCCAUAAUAUAUGACAGUGUUAAAAAGAAGAAAAGCACAGGAGAAAUUGUCACUCUUAGAAAACUUCUGUGGGAUCUGGGUAGCCUUUUGAAUGGUACCUUUGACAGUUUAGCCAAUGCAGGGGAGCUGUCCCUGGUGCUGAACCUACCUUAAAGCAAAUAGGUCAAAGUGACCUUCACCAAUUUUUGUACAUAUUUUUUUCUGGGCUCCUAUUACCAAUGACAAUACUAAGAAUAAAAUUUAUAUUUAUAAACGAUUUCCAAUUUUGAACACUUUAUUUUUUU
rnacentral:lncRNA from 1 species